GGGUGAUUAGCUCAGCUGGGAGAGCACCUCCCUUACAAGGAGGGGGUCGGCGGUUCGAUCCCGUCAUCACUGA
rnacentral:tRNA from 1 species